UACGAAGGGGGCUAGCGUUGCUCGGAAUCACUGGGCGUAAAGGGCGCGUAGGCGGCCAUUCAAGUCGGAGGUGAAAGCCCAGGGCUCAACCCUGGAAUUGCCUUCGAUACUGUUUGGCUAGAGACCGGAAGAGGUAAGUGGAACUGCGAGUGUAGAGGUGAAAUUCGUAGAUAUUCGCAAGAACACCAGUGGCGAAGGCGGCUUACUGGUCCGGUUCUGGACGCUGAGGCGCGAAAGCGUGGGGAGCAAAGCAGGG
rnacentral:rRNA from 1 species